CGAGCGGUAGAGAGAAGCUUGCUUCUCUUGAGAGCGGCGGACGGGUGAGUAAUGCCUAGGAAUCUGCCUGGUAGUGGGGGAUAACGUUCGGAAACGGACGCUAAUACCGCAUACGUCCUACGGGAGAAAGCAGGGGACCUUCGGGCCUUGCGCUAUCAGAUGAGCCUAGGUCGGAUUAGCUAGUUGGUGAGGUAAUGGCUCACCAAGGCGACGAUCCGUAACUGGUCUGAGAGGAUGAUCAGUCACACUGGAACUGAGACACGGUCCAGACUCCUACGGGAGGCAGCAGUGGGGAAUAUUGGACAAUGGGCGAAAGCCUGAUCCAGCCAUGCCGCGUGUGUGAAGAAGGUCUUCGGAUUGUAAAGCACUUUAAGUUGGGAGGAAGGGCAGUUACCUAAUACGUGAUUGUUUUGACGUUACCGACAGAAUAAGCACCGGCUAACUCUGUGCCAGCAGCCGCGGUAAUACAGAGGGUGCAAGCGUUAAUCGGAAUUACUGGGCGUAAAGCGCGCGUAGGUGGUUAGUUAAGUUGGA
rnacentral:rRNA from 1 species